rnacentral:ncRNA from 1 species
AUAAACGCGAAGAAGGGAAGUAGUAGGUUAAAUGAUUGCUUUCAGAGAGCUACCGGUUGGUGCGAGGUAGUACAAUUAUUAACCGAACUCGUCCCAGAGCUGUUAAGGUGAAAUAUUAGUAGCCUUAACCGGUACAAUCCGUUAUCUUGUCGAGUGGGUAAUAAGUGUAUUCUAUUGCCAAUUAGAGUGGUACCGCGAAACCUUUCGUCUCUAAA